AGUGAACGCUGGCGGUAGGCCUAACACAUGCAAGUCGAACGGCAGCACAGUAAGAGCUUGCUCUUACGGGUGGCGAGUGGCGGACGGGUGAGGAAUACAUCGGAAUCUACUUUUUCGUGGGGGAUAACGUAGGGAAACUUACGCUAAUACCGCAUACGACCUACGGGUGAAAGCAGGGGAUCUUUGGACCUUGCGCGAUUGAAUGAGCCGAUGUCGGAUUAGCUAGUUGGCGGGGUAAAGGCCCACCAAGGCGACGAUCCGUAGCUGGUCUGCGAGGAUGAUCAGCCACACUGGAACUGAGACACGGUCCAGACUCCUACGGGAGGCAGCAGUGGGGAAUAUUGGACAAUGGGCGCAAGCCUGAUCCAGCCAUACCGCGUGGGUGAAGAAGGCCUUCGGGUUGUAAAGCCCUUUUGUUGGGAAAGAAAAGCAGCAGGUUAAUACCCCACUGUUCUGACGGUACCCAAAGAAUAAGCACCGGCUAACUUCGUG
rnacentral:rRNA from 1 species